GACGAACGCUGGCGGCGUGCCUAAUACAUGCAAGUCGAACGAAGCUUUUUUAACUGGUGCUUGCACCGACUUAAACAACUGAGUGGCGAACGGGUGAGUAACACGUGGGUAACCUGCCCCAAAGCGGGGGAUAACAUUUGGAAACAGAUGCUAAUACCGCAUAACCACAGAAACCACAUGGUUUCUGUGUCAAAGAUGGUUUCGGCUAUCACUUUGGGAUGGACCCGCGGCGUAUUAGCUAGUUGGUAAGGUAAUGGCUUACCAAGGCAAUGAUACGUAGCCGAACUGAGAGGUUGAUCGGCCACAUUGGGACUGAGACACGGCCCAAACUCCUACGGGAGGCAGCAGUAGGGAAUCUUCCGCAAUGGACGAAAGUCUGAUGGAGCAACGCCGCGUGAGUGAAGAAGGUUUUCGGAUCGUAAAACUCUGUUGUCAGAGAAGAACGUGUGCGAGAGUAACUGUUCGUGCAGUGACGGUAUCUGGCCAGAAAGCCACGGCUAACUACGUGCCAGCAGCCGCCGUAA
rnacentral:rRNA from 1 species